GCCCGUGGCGGCAGCUAUACAUGCAAGUCGAGCGGACAGAUGGGAGCUUGCUCCCUGAUGUUAGCGGCGGACGGGUGAGUAACACGUGGGUAACCUGCCUGUAAGACUGGGAUAACUCCGGGAAACCGGGGCUAAUACCGGAUGGUUGUUUGAACCGCAUGGUUCAGACAUAAAAGGUGGCUUCGGCUACCACUUACAGAUGGACCCGCGGCGCAUUAGCUAGUUGGUGAGGUAACGGCUCACCAAGGCGACGAUGCGUAGCCGACCUGAGAGGGUGAUCGGCCACACUGGGACUGAGACACGGCCCAGACUCCUACGGGAGGCAGCAGUAGGGAAUCUUCCGCAAUGGACGAAAGUCUGACGGAGCAACGCCGCGUGAGUGAUGAAGGUUUUCGGAUCGUAAAGCUCUGUUGUUAGGGAAGAACAAGUGCCGUUCAAAUAGGGCGGCACCUUGACGGUACCUAACCAGAAAGCCACGGCUAACUACGUGCCAGCAGCCGCGGUAAUACGUAGGUGGCAAGCGUUGUCCGGAAUUAUUGGGCGUAAAGGGCUCGCAGGCGGUUUCUUAAGUCUGAUGUGAAAGCCCCCGGCUCAACCGGGGAGGGUCAUUGGAAACUGGGGAACUUGAGUGCAGAAGAGGAGAGUGGAAUUCCACGUGUAGCGGUGAAAUGCGUAGAGAUGUGGAGGAACACCAGUGGCGAAGGCGACUCUCUGGUCUGUAACUGACGCUGAGGAGCGAAAGCGUGGGGAGCGAACAGGAUUAGAUACCCUGGUAGUCCACGCCGUAAACGAUGAGUGCUAAGUGUUAGGGGGUUUCCGCCCCUUAGUGCUGCAGCUAACGCAUUAAGCACUCCGCCUGGGGAGUACGGUCGCAAGACUGAAACUCAAAGGAAUUGACGGGGGCCCGCACAAGCGGUGGAGCAUGUGGUUUAAUUCGAAGCAACGCGAAGAACCUUACCAGGUCUUGACAUCCUCUGACAAUCCUAGAGAUAGGACGUCCCCCUUCGGGGGCAGAGUGACAGGUGGUGCAUGGGUUGUCGUCAGCUUCGUGUCCUUGAGAUGUUUG
rnacentral:rRNA from 2 species